GCUGGCGGCAGGCCUAACUCAUGCAAGUCGAGCGGAAACGAUCCUAGCUUGCUAGGAGGCGUCGAGCGGCGGACGGGUGAGUAAUGCAUAGGAAUCUGCCCGGUAGUGGGGGAUAACUUGAGGAAACUCAAGCUAAUACCGCAUACGCCCCAAGGGGGAAAGCAGGGGAUCUUCGGACCUUGCGCUAUCGGAUGAGCCUAUGUCGGAUUAGCUAGUUGGUGAGGUAAUGGCUCACCAAGGCCGCGAUCCGUAGCUGGUCUGAGAGGAUGAUCAGCCACAUCGGGACUGAGACACGGCCCGAACUCCUACGGGAGGCAGCAGUGGGGAAUAUUGGACAAUGGGCGAAAGCCUGAUCCAGCCAUGCCGCGUGUGUGAAGAAGGCCUUCGGGUUGUAAAGCACUUUCAGCGAGGAAGAACGCUUGUGGGUUAAUACCCUGCAAGAAGGACAUCACUCGCAGAAGAAGCACCGGCUAACUCCGUGCCAGCAGCCGCGGUAAUACGGAGGGUGCAAGCGUUAAUCGGAAUUACUGGGCGUAAAGCGCGCGUAGGCGGCUUGAUAAGCCGGUUGUGAAAGCCCCGGGCUCAACCUGGGAACGGCAUCCGGAACUGUCAGGCUAGAGUGCAGGAGAGGAAGGUAGAAUUCCCGGUGUAGCGGUGAAAUGCGUAGAGAUCGGGAGGAAUACCAGUGGCGAAGGCGGCCUUCUGGACUGACACUGACGCUUAGGUGCNAAAGCGUGGGUAGCAAACAGGAUUAGAUACCCUGGUAGUCCACGCCGUAAACGAUGUCGACU
rnacentral:rRNA from 1 species